rnacentral:rRNA from 1 species
UACGGGGGGUGCGAGCGUUGUCCGGAAUCACUGGGCGUAAAGCGCGCGCAGGCGGUCCUUUAAGUCUGAUGUGAAAUCCCGUGGCUUAACCACGGGCGGUCAUUGGAAACUGGGGGACUUGAGUGCAGAAGAGAAGAGCGGAAUUCCACGUGUAGCGGUGAAAUGCGUAGAGAUGUGGAGGAACACCAGUGGCGAAGGCGGCUCUUUGGUCUGUAACUGACGCUGAGGCGCGAAAGCGUGGGGAGCGAACAGG